AAAUUGCAAGAAAAGAAAAAUGGGGAGUUGGUUUCUUUCCACUCCUAGAUCAUCUUCCGCCUCCACUCCUUCACCAACAUACAAACCGUCACACCGAUCCAACCCUUCCACCUCAAAACCUUUAAUCUUCGUAGCUUUGCUCCUCAACUGGUCCCCACUUUUUGUCACCCAUCGGAGCUCCUCGUCGACGGCAUCGAUGCCGACAAAUCGUACCCGUUGCAGAGGCUUAAGAUCUCGAAGAUGAGCUGUGCAGCCUAGGCGAGGUUGUGAUUUUGCGGCAGCGACCACGAGAUCAUCCGUACCCUCUGCUUUCUCAACAAUCUCUAUCUCACAAGGUACGCUGUUAUUCGCUCGCUUGUUCCCUCUGUCGUUUUCAGCGGAAUGAGUUAUUGAAUCAGAUCCGGAAAGAAUUGUGUGUUUCUUCGUUGAUCCUUCAGUUUAAUUCUCUAUGCUGAUAAAUUCCUAACCUGAUUCUGGUUUUGUGUAGUUUAACUCCAACUUGCUUUGUGAAAUUAACCACUUAAGUGUAAUGAUGGAACAAUAAACUGAGAAUUUUCUGCUUCCAAAAGAGAUAACUCAACUGCAGCAUUUAAUAAUUUCGAUAAUUGAUGGGCAUUUUUGCUAGUUUUUUGUUGUUGUUUAAAUACACAGAAUUUUGUCAAUUUUAGUUGCUAAAAAGUGCAUUGCGGUUGCAAAAUGGUAUCAACAAGUGUUUUGCUUGCCUUUGUUUGGACUUGGAUUGAAGGAGAAGAUUUGUACUAGCGGUGUUAUGCCUGUAAGUUAUAGCAUUUUAUGCAGAAGAUGAAUGACUCUUAUAUGCAACAUAGACUUAAAAGAAUUUACUUUUAAACUGCUAUAUGAUAUGUAGUUUUAUCCUCUUCCUUUGUUGGCAUGAAAGUAAGCAAAUGUGUUCUUCCAUUCAAGUUUUUCCUUAUUAACUAAUGAACACAAUUAACAAGUGAUUCGUCCAGUUUCAAUUCCGUUCUCUACAGCUCCCUCCUCACAGUUAAUGGUUUGGAGCUUGGGAUUAAUCUAAAUUAAAAUAACUUAGUAAACAUCCUUCCUCUGCCUGGAAAUUUUAUCAAACAUGAUGCCUUCCUCACUCCACUUGUUAACCGAUUGAAAUCAUGACUACAUGGCAAUCUUUUUCAUUCAUUCAUCCAAUUCAACAAUAUAUUAAUUGACUUUGAAGAGACAUGUGGGGCUAUAUAUCUUUGGGUUACUUUAAGCUGGUAAGUUUUCUUAUGUACACUACAACUUUGCAGAGAAUCAUGUCUUUGUUGCUGUCAACCUUGGUAAUAACCUUAAUUUUAUAUGUUAAUGAACCUUUGACAUUCUUGUUUAAUUUAUUGAUACUAGAACCAAUACCUAGAGAGUAAUAUAAUUGAUAUUUCUUACACUCUAUUGAGGUAUGAACCCAUGAGUAUGACCUCAUGCAAACUACCCAAAUGCCUCACUCUAACUCAAUCCUAGAGUGUGGGUCUGUAUCAUUUAGUUUUUUUCACUUAUAAAGUUCUAUUGUUAAAUGAUUCAUGCACCAAUUACAAUAUGAUAUCAUCAUCCAAGGAGAUUUUACUUCUACUGAGUUAUUCUCUAAUUCACUUGUUAUUUCUAUUUUGCAUAAAUUUGCUAGCUUCAUGUCUACCAAUAUGGGGAUGGUUUUUCUGAUUGUCUUUUAGGACUGGCUUUUGUUUCAUUUUCCUUGCAUGGGGUGUCUACUAGGGUGAAUCAAUAGUGGGAAAGCAUUUCAUUCCUCACUUCUGCAGUGGUUGUUGUGUGUGGAGCAAUUUACUUGGUCUGUCUUCUGGUUGGAUAUGAUUCCUUCACUAAGAUAUGCUUCUUGCCUUCUGCUGUUGUGUCACGCUUUUAAGGGAUAUCCUUUUUCUUUCCAGCUUCAUUACUAUUGUUCAGUCAAUGUAGAUAAUUGUCUGGGUAGGCUUAUAGUGGACUAAUUGCUGCCUGUUUGGAGUAGUGGGCUCUUGUAGUUGUUUUAAUCAGCUGAUCCUCAGGUUAUUAUUCGUAGAUUUGGACAUGUUUUAGCUGCAUUCCUUUUUCCAUUUUUAGCUGGCCUUUGAUUUUCCAAAUGUGAAAUUUAAGUUAUAAGUUUCCCAUUACUUAGUGCAUCUUCCUUUUUAUUUUCCGUAGUUUUUCUAUUUGUUAUUUUCCCUGAAUGAUUUGAAAGAACAAGCCCAUUCUAGUGAGUGCUAUGAAAAAUCCCUGCUUGUGAGUCUUCUUGAACUGCUAUAUCUGAGAUGCAUGUUUUCUAUGAGAUAAGAAAACUUGCAUGUGAUUGCUUUCUAUAUCCUCUUGAUGUUAUCAUUGGACUUGAUUUAUAUACAUAUCAAAUCAUAUUUAUAAAUUGUACUUUUGAUCUGUUUAUAAACAUGUCUAUUUAUUUACAUAAGUUUUCUAUAGAACAGAGAUAUCUGAGUUUACGGCAUCCAUUUAGUCGUCUUUAUUCUUUGGCUUUUGUAGUGCCCCUUGUCAGACUAAUAGUGUUGAUUGUGGAUAUUAUGUGAUGAAGUUAAUGAAAGAUAUCAUUACUCACCAUCAACUUGUGAUCCAAUGAGGUAUUUCGAAGAUUGUCAGUUCAUUUCCCAUAAUGAAGAGCAAUUGCGUGAAGUUAAAGAUGAGUGGGCUGCUUAUUAUGUAGUUAACAAAUAUUUAGUAGUUAAUAUAUUAGAUGUUGAUAUCAUGCACUUUAGAAAUUGUUUCAGAAUUAUGAAGCUUUUGAUAUUUUAUUUAUAUA